UCAAGCCUCCAAACGAGGAGAGCACGCCGUUCCAACUUGGAACUUACGAGCGGUCCACCCAGGAAGCCGGUUCCAAAGACGUACGCACUACUUUUCGAGGAGGGCCUUUCUGAAAAGUGGUAACAGUCUGAGAAUGGUGAAUGCAAAACGAACUUGUGUGCAACAAGUGGGUGGGUGAUGAGCGACUUUAGUAACACUAACAACGAAUAGUUCUUCGGCUUGGUCAACGAGCAAAAGAACCCUCCAAAAAAGAAAGGCCACGGGUUCUCAAUGGUCCUUCAACCAUGAGAAUAAGAGACCAAUCAAAGUGGAUGACCUGACACAGCGGCUCAAUUUUUGCCCAUGUUAAUCCCCGAUGCCUAUUCAACUCCCAAGUCCUCUGCUCUCUUGACCCGACUUGUGGAGAAAAAAGGCUGAGAGAAAAAGUCUGGCCUUUUCGACGUGAAGAUCCGUUUGACCGCUCAUCAAAGACGGCUUCUAUAUUCCCACAACUGGAAAUGCCCAUGUUGCAUUCAGUGUCUUGAAGGGUCGAGUGGAUCCAGAUCCGACUUGAAUUUAUCUCUCCAAAGACGGCUGUUAUCCCUUUAAGACCUUCCAAGGGACAAUCCACUGAGGCCGCCCUUCGUAUAUCUGUUGUGGACAUACGAGAAGAAGAAUAAAGUAGGAGAAACAGACAGAGAAAGCGGAAACGGACCUUUUUUGUUUGUUAAGUAGUGGAGGGAAGGCGUGAUUUACGAUUCACUGCAUAAAGAAUGAAGACUGCCACAAGCGCUCACUGUUCUCUUGAAUGAAGUUGGCUAGUAAGCUUUGAAGAACAUAUUCGACGGAGAUUCGUUCCCAAUCUUUGGACCAUCGUUCUCAGAUGGAAUCGCUUGGCAAACAAUGUAUCCGUACAGCAGAAGAGCGCCACGAAUCAAGACAGUAACAUCUCUUUCUGCCACUAUCAGUGAAACUAUUGGUCCCAUCAUCGUCAUGCACACAACCUUUGGUGUUCAGACGCCAAGAAGGUCCGGUCAAAACAAGGCCAGGUGGGCAAUUGAAAGACAGAUUGGUCCAUGACUUCCCAGCGAAUUUCCGUAUUUCCUUGGAACAACAACGACUUGACCAGGGCCUUUGAUCCAAAGGAUUCGUGAAAAGGAUCUUGAAUACCAACAACCAGCUGGCCUCUUUGGAUAAAAAGAGAGAGAGAAGCCGCGUUGAGAGUGAGUGAUUGAAAAGGAUUUCUCGUCGGGAAGACGUAUUAAUCAUGUGAAGGGAAGGAGUCCGCUUGAAUGCCUCCGUUUUCCGGCUCAUUAGCGAUGAAAUGGAACAAGGAACUUUUUGGUGGAUCCAUCCUGAAGGCGAGAAGUAAUGCACUGCCUCUCACCUCCAAUUUGUGACUGGGAACUUGAAGAAGAGCUCUAUCAAGUGUCGAGAUCCUCAAAAACUUUCUUGGCCAACAGCUACUAAAAACGAGUGAGAGCGCAAGUUAAUUGCUGUACCAACCCACCUUCAGUGCUCGUGGUGCGCUAAAAUGCUUCAUGUUGUGAGCAUGACUCAAGGUUUCAUCGUGUUCUUGGCCUUCUGCUACUUUGCCUGUCUCUUCUUGGCCUUUUUCAUCCUUUAUCUUAUUUUCGAAUCGUGAGCCAACGAUGGGAGCAUUGGGGUGAGUGGCCCAGCCUUUGAUGGAUCACUGAAGGGCUAAGGAACACUCAUCAUCGUCAAGUGCAAGUGGUGUGCUGUUCACCAAACAGUUAAGGGAAAGCAAAUCAAACUGUCCUCAAGGGUUCGAGACCCUUCUCAGUUGGUCGUGGUCCAGAGUGUGAGUGGAAUACCACCCACAGGAAACGGUGACCUCUCAUUACGUACGUACGUAGAUGUGUAUUUCCAGUGCUCCACGCCUCGUUCCAUCAUCCCUCCAUCCGUUGACCCACAUACCUACAAUGAAAUGACCGAGGGAAGGAAUAGGCCCUCCUACCAGGUCGAUCGGACCCCGGGAGGGACCCAUUUGUGAACUUCUCUCACGCGUCCAAUCUGUGCCUCUCUGACUUUCCUAACUUUGACAGAUACCUCGCUUCCCAUUUUCUCGACUUUCGAGAAGGCCCCCUCCCCCCCCCCAAAUCUGGGAUGAGAUUCCCGGAUACCAAUUGGAGGAAGCGAUAUGGUGGUUGUCAUGAUGACGGUGCCGGUUUUCCUGGUGGAGGUAAUCCGUAUUGGUUCGACACCACGCACGUCUCCAGAUGCUCACGUAAAAACGAGGCGGAAAGAAUCCAAAAAUGUGUCCUUUCCAUUGCGAUCCAUUAUUGUGCUAUACAGUGUAUAGCACUGCUCGAACAUCUUUCAUUGAAGAACAAGGUGUUAUGUAUUCGAUGUGGGGUAGGCCUAAUUUUGUACGUAUGAACGAUUGCUCUCUCUUGCUUUGUGUCCAAACUUGCAGUAUGAUAUUUGUAAUUGUAUUUCCUAAUAAAUGACUAUUUCUCAAA